UACGUAGGGGGCUAGCGUUGUCCGGAAUCAUUGGGCGUAAAGAGCGUGUAGGCGGUCCGGUAAGUCCGCUGUGAAAGUCGGGGGCUCAACCCUCGAAUGCCGGUGGAUACUGUCGGGCUAGAGUGCGGAAGAGGCGAGUGGAAUUCCUGGUGUAGCGGUGAAAUGCGCAGAUAUCGGGAAGAACACCCGUGGCGAAGGCGGUUCUCUGGGACGGUACUGACGCUGAGGCACGAAAGCGUGGGGAGCGAACAGG
rnacentral:rRNA from 1 species